rnacentral:rRNA from 1 species
GACGAACGCUGGCGGCGUGCUUAACACAUGCAAGUCGAACGAAGUGGCGAACGGGUGAGUAACGCGUAAUCAACCUGCCCUUCAGAGGGGGACAACAGUUGGAAACGACUGCUAAUACCGCAUACAGAAGGAGGGGAGUGCGUUUGAUUCGCUAGUUGGAGGGGUAACGGCCCACCAAGGCGAUGAUCAGUAGCCGGUCUGGAGAGAUGAACGGCCACAUCUGGACUGAGGCACGGCCCAGACUUCGACGGGAGGCAGCAGUGGGGAAUCUUGCGCAAUGGGCGAAAGUCCUACGGCGCAACGCCGCGUGAGUGAUGGCGGCCUUCGGGUUUUAAAGCUCUGUUAAUCGGGAAGCGGUACCGGAAUAAAAAGCCACGGCUAACUCCGUGCCAGCAGCCGCGGUAAUUC